AUUGAACGCUGGCGGCAUGCUUUACACAUGCAAGUCGAACGGUAACAGGCCGCAAGGUGCUGACGAGUGGCGAACGGGUGAGUAAUGCAUCGGAACGUGCCCAGUCGUGGGGGAUAACGCAGCGAAAGCUGCGCUAAUACCGCAUACGAUCUAUGGAUGAAAGCGGGGGACCGUAAGGCCUCGCGCGAUUGGAGCGGCCGAUGUCAGAUUAGGUAGUUGGUGGGGUAAAGGCUCACCAAGCCAACGAUCUGUAGCUGGUCUGAGAGGACGACCAGCCACACUGGGACUGAGACACGGCCCAGACUCCUACGGGAGGCAGCAGUGGGGAAUUUUGGACAAUGGGCGCAAGCCUGAUCCAGCAAUGCCGCGUGCAGGAAGAAGGCCUUCGGGUUGUGAACUGCUUUUGUACGGAACGAAACGGUCUGGGUUAAUACCCCGGGCUAAUGACGGUACCGUAAGAAUAAGCACCGGCUAACUACGUGCCAGCAGCCGCGGUAACAC
rnacentral:rRNA from 1 species